rnacentral:rRNA from 1 species
GACGAACGCUGGCGGCGUGCUUAACACAUGCAAGUCGAACGAUGAACUUGGAGCUUGCUCUGGGGGAUUAGUGGCGAACGGGUGAGUAACACGCGAGUAACCUGCCCUGGACUCUGGGAUAACUUCGAGAAAUCGGAGCUAAUACCGGAUAGGACCUUGCACCGCAUGGUGUGGGGUGGAAAGUUUUUCGGUUUGGGAUGGACUCGCGGCCUAUCAGCUUGUUGGUGAGGUAAUGGCUCACCAAGGCGUCGACGGGUAGCCGGCCUGAGAGGGUGACCGGCCACACUGGGACCGAGACACGGCCCAGACUCCUACGGGAGGCAGCAGUGGGGAAUAUUGCACAAUGGGCGCAAGCCUGAUGCAGCAACGCCGCGUGCGGGAUGACGGCCUUCGGGUUGUAAACCGCUUUUAGUAGGGAAGAAGCCUUCGGGUGACGGUACCUGCAGAAAAAGGACCGGCUAACUACGUGCCAGCAGCCGCGGUAAAAC